AUGUGGCGUAGCAGGGUGCGCCGCUGCCCCACUGGCAAGUCCCAGGGGUCCCGCGGCAUGCCUGGUUGUCCGCACACUGCCCGCAAGGUCCGAUUCCGGACGUCCUGCCUCACCUGCAAGUCCGAGUCCCCAGCAUCCAGGGACAGCCUCCCAGGCCUGAGGACUGUCCCGCGCCAGGCCACACCCUCGCGAUUUGGAGGGUGCAGGGGAAGGGGCUUCAUCUCGGCCAGGAUGCCCCGCUCGAUCAUGAGCAGCAGCCCGCUGGAGGCCACGAUCACCGCGAACAUCAGCAUGGACGGCAGCAGCAGGGGCGGCCCAGGGGCUCGGCGCCAUUUGGGGCUGCCAGCGGGGUCAGCGGGCGGGGGAACAUGGUGCUCCCGGGGUGGGGGCCUGCGCGGGCAGCCCGAUCCGAGGGCCGCCCGGGAGGCGGGCUCGGGCUGGGGGCGGGAGCCGAGGGUUGGGCCCGCAGCGCCGGGCGGGGGUCGAAGAGGGGAGCGCUGGCGGGAGGGUUGGCGCGCGCGGGGGUGGCCGGCUCCCGGGCUGCGGCGCCGGAGCGGGCGGCGGGCGGGCGGGCGGGCGCGGCGAGGGACCAGGGCCGGAUGUCCCGCCCGGCAGCUCUCCGCCCCCAGCCCCGCCGUGACACAGGCGCGGGGGCGGGCCCAGGCCGGGGGCGGGGAGAGGGGCGGGCGUCCCUGCAGGGAGCGGGCUACCAGGGAGCGUGCAGACCCCUACCCGGGAGAGGGCGCCUGAACCAGGGCCGCCCUAGUCCUCCGGGCUUCGGGGACAAAAGCUCGCAAGGCUCUGAAGGCAGAAAAGACCCGGGCCGCGGCGCCCUCUCUUGCGCAGCGCGUGCCCUCAGGGAGCUGGACGGAGAGGGCCUGCGCCCAACACCCUGCCGCUCGCUCCGGCCUGGCCGAGCCCUUCCUCCCGCGGCGGGUCCCGAGGCUGGGGCCCCCCGCAGAGCUCUCCGCGAGUCCAAACUUUGGAGAGGCCCGUCUCUCUCGCUGGAAGCAGAGUCCCCAGUGUGCUCCCCCUGCCCACCCUGUCCUGCCCGCUCCAGUAAAGAGGAACAAGACUGUCGAGCACUGACCAAUGGCUCAUCUCCAUGGUGACCCUUAGAUUUAACAGUACGUGGUGGAUUACAGUGUUUAUCCACUGGGUAAUGCUGAAAUGUCUGGAAAUGGAAUCUUCUCCCCUCAUCUGCCUUCCCUUCCCCAGGUCUGGAGAGGUGGGAUACCUGGGACACUCUCUGGUGAGAGGCCAAUGACAGGUCGGUGCCUUCUGACCACUGGUGUGGCCGGCACACGUUUUGAAGGGUGAGGGGCUGGGGGCACAGAGCAGGAGCCUUCUUUGCCUGGAGCCAUGUGCUCAACAGCCAGUGACGUAGGCUAGAGGCAGCUAUGGGAAUGCCUGUGCCCACCUGAACUGGGCACCUAGCUAAGCAUCCAGACCUCACCCUGUUAUGUGUGGGAGCCAGUGAGGCUCUGAAGCAGAGUAGUUAUGCGAUCAGAGUCCACAGUUACCAAGGCAGGUGUCUGUUCAGUGUCUUGUAUUCUCUCCUUCAGUUGUUACAGUCGCCCUGUGACUAACAUCCUGGGAGGUAGGUACUAUGGGCAAUCGCACGGUACAGCUGAAGAAACAGAGGCUCAGGGAAGCUGAGACUCUCUCUGGAUCGGUCUGAUUCUAAAACCUAAGUUCCUAAUUAUGAUCCUUCAGAGAUUAAUGGAGUACAAACAUGGAAGGGUGGGAAGAGAGGAAGCAGCUGACCCCAGGGAGUGAUGAAAUAGGAGAAGAUGCCAGAGGCUUUGAGUCUAGUGGGAGAGUGGAGCUACCACUGAUCAGAUGAAUUCAGAAAGGAUGAGGGGCUCUGAGGGAUGAGCCGAAGCUAGAGGGCUCAUGGGUUUCCCCCAAGCCCCAUCCUUGUAAUGUGAGAGCACAAAGGAUGAGCAAGAGGAAGGAAUGGAAACCCUGGAGGCCUUCCAGCUCCUUAGAGUAGGCUCCCUGCAUUCCACUGUCUGAAUGCUGGGGUGCACCUCAGGAUGCACCGUUCACUGCUAGAGAAAUUAGCGUUCAGGUUCAGCCUUCACCCAACUGCUUCCUGCCUCCAAUAGCACUGAAGGUAGAUUGCUGGUGGUGGAAUUAUUUUCUACUGAAAUCUUUCGUUUGUUUGUUUUAAACAGUAAGUACAUCUUUUGUACUAGGAAAGGAAAAAAACCUUUGAAAAGUUUUUGAUAACUUGGCCACAUGCACUCAUUUCUCUGAACAGUUUUCUGCGUUAGCAGUCACAGAGAAGGAGUCUGAGUGCAGGAACAGCCACUUAGUGGGGGGGAAUCCUUGGGCAAGGUACUUGUCUCCACACCAGUUUCCUGUCUGUAAAAUAAUAGGAUAUAACCCAUAUCAUGGGACUCCUGUGGGCAGCACACUGAUGGCAGUGCUAUAGUCCAUGGUGGUGUUCAUGCCACUGAAAGCCUCAGUGGAAACGCACCUGCCCAGAUGUCCUUACCAAGAUGCAGAAGAGGGUGGAGCAGCCAUGCUUUGCCUCCUAGGAGUCCCCAUGGCCUUAGAAUUGCCCCACCUUGAGCACAGUCAACAGAGGCUUUGUGGCUGGGGCUGGUUUGAGCCGGGGUCCAGGCAGUCAUAAACCCUUGGCCCCAUGAAAUGGUCUUCACUCCCUCAGCAAGGAGUGCCAGUUGCUAGAUAUGAGGCCCUGGGACAGUUUUUGCUAGCCAGUUCCAAGAGCAUGACCCAAGGUGACGAGAUGAUAGCCUCACCAUGCACCUACUCAGCGACCAGCUCCUAGGUCACUGACCAGGGGAGGGCUGGCAAGCCAAGGAUUUCACAGUCCAGGCAGGUGGCUCUGGCCACCACAAUGCCAGGAAGUCAACUAUAAGCUCCCACUCCCGCCGCCUCUCCUCCUCCCUCUGAUUUUUCCUGCCCUCUCUGCUUACUGGCCUCAGUGAGCCCCUGCACUGUAAAGGUUAAGAGGGAUCCCCAAAAUAGAGUGGUGAACCCCUUGCACCCACACACAAAGACGACAGGACACACAGGAAAUGAUCCUUUUCUAAAUCAAUACAAUUUCUCAAAUUUAUUUAUUUUUCUUAAAGAAGUACUUCUAAUCUCUGUCAAAAGGGAGGUGAGGAAAGGUCCUCCCUCCCUUGUAAACACUGAAAUACAGAUCUGAGAAACCAGGGUCGACACACACAAAAAGUGCAUUUUACAAAAUAUCAACUAAAAUAUAUUUUACAUGAAUUAUGCUUCCAUUGAAAUUCUACCAGCUGCAUUUUCAGGUUCGAAAAAAUAUUUCCACAUCUAAGAGAUUUCAAAAGCAUUUAAGUUCUGGGCAGCAGACCCUGCCUCCUGGGAGGAGGGGCCUUGAUCUCCUCUCCUGCUGGGUGAGGCUGGGCCCCUUGGCAGCAAGGGCUCAGCACCUGGGAAUGAGCUGGCUCCAAGGCUGGCUCUUCAGAACCCCCAUGGCCACUCUCACCAGCCUCUCUUACUGCCUGGCCCUCCCGGACUGAUGAUGCCUUCCUCUAAACAGCUUAUUCAAUACAAGGGGACCCAAGUCCCUUCCCUCCGGGUUUGGGAUUGGGCUUCCCAUGUGUAAAUUCACCUCAGAAGCCCCGAGGCCUCCCCCCUCCCAGCCCAGUGGCCAAUCAGGAGCAGCAGGUCUUCUCUGGGCAGCACGGGGGAGGGGGUUGCUCGGAGGGAGUGCCCUCACGAUUGAUUUGCUUCUACCUCCCUCUCCAGCUCCUGUCCUCACCAGCGCCACCUCCUCAGCCUGCGGGGUCUAUGUCUGCCUCUCCGUAGGGGAGGAGGACUCAAUGCUGUCCUCCUUGUCUUCUGUCCCCAAGGGUGUACCCCAUGGGAGUGCUCACGAGCAGGUUCCCAGCACCAGGCCCAAGCCACGCUGUGUCCCUCUCCCUCCGUCUCCAACCAUGCUCCUCUUUGGUACAAAUAGGAAAGAACCGGGCUGCUCCAGCUCCCUCACAGAGAGCCCCAGGGCCAGGGUCUAGCCCUGGCAAGGACAGCAGGGAGCUGGCUGAGCCUCCUAAUCUACUCUGGGGAGCAGCAUGAGGUGAGAAGAGGGCCCCUGGGCAACAGGAACAAACUGAAAAUGCAGGUCCUUAGCUCCUAGAGUGAGUGGCUGCAGCUCAGCAGGUCUGCGGACUGAUACAGUGUUGAUUCUCGCUGGGAUGUAAAUUAGUGCAAUCUACAAAAGACUAGGGGAGGGGGUGGCAGGGCAAGGGGAGCCACAGCACUCCUUUGGUUUGAUUUCAGGUGGGUGUGGCUUGAAGAGUCAUGUGUGAAGUUCUGCAAGAGGUUUCCUAGAACCUCCAAGAGUAAGGCAAGAGGAAAAGUCUUCAAUAAAUCAGGUAGCAAUUUUCCUUGCCCCCUGCCC
rnacentral:lncRNA from 1 species